rnacentral:rRNA from 1 species
UAAGGAAUAUUGGUCAAUGGACGCAAGUCUGAACCAGCCAUGCCGCGUGAAGGAAGACGGCCCUACGGGUUGUAAACUUCUUUUGUACGGGAAAAAAUCUCCGGUCGUGAAUCGGAGCUGAUGGUAACGUCAGAAUAAGCAUCGGCUAACUCGGUGCCAGCAGCCGCGGUAAUACGGAGGAUGCAAGCGUUAUCCGGAUUCAUUGGGUUUAAAGGGUGCGCAGGCGGAAUGAUAAGUCAGUGGUGAAAUCCUACGGCUCAACUGUAGAACUGCAAUUGAUACUGUCGUUCUUGAGUACACGUGGAGUGGGCGGAAUGUGUCAUGUAGCGGUGAAAUGCUUAGAUAUGACACAGAACACCGAUCGCGAAGGCAGCUCACUAAAUUGUAACUGACGCUCAGGCACGAAAGCGUGGGGAUCAAACA